rnacentral:rRNA from 1 species
GACGAACGCUGGCGGCGUGCUUAACACAUGCAAGUGGUGCGACGAACCAGGGCUUGCCCUGGGGCAAAGCCGCGAACGGGUGAGUAACACGUGAGUAAUCUGCCCCGAUGACCGGGACAACCCGAGGAAACUCGGGCUAAUACCGGAUGAUGAGCCAUGGCGUAAGCCUUGUCUCUAAAGGAAGCUUCGGCCUCCGCAUUGGGAGGAGCUCGCGGCCCAUUAGCUUGUUGGGGGGUAACGGCCCACCAAGGCAACGAUGGGUAGCUGGUCUGAGAGGACGAUCAGCCACACUGGGACUGAGACACGGCCCAGACUCCUACGGGAGGCGGCAGUCGAGUAAUUUUCUCAAUGGGGGAAACCCUGAAGGAGCGACGCCGCGUGGAGGAUGAAGGUCUCGGAUUGUAAACUCCUGUCAUUCGAGAACAAGGCCUGCGAAGUAACUGUCGUCAGGCUCGAUAGUAUACGAAAGAGGGAAGGGACGGCUAACUCUGUGCCAGCAGCCGC